rnacentral:rRNA from 1 species
ACGCUCGACACCUACGGGAGGCAGCAGUAGGGAAUCUUCCACAAUGGACGCAAGUCUGAUGGAGCAACGCCGCGUGAGUGAAGAAGGUUUUCGGAUCGUAAAGCUCUGUUGUUGGUGAAGAAGGAUAGAGGUAGUAACUGGCCUUUAUUUGACGGUAAUCAACCAGAAAGUCACGGACUAACUACGUGCCGGCAGCCGCGGUAAUCUGAGCGGGCUGGCAAGGC